GAGAGUAUAGCUCAGUGGCAGAGUGUAUGUUUAGCAUGCAUGAGGUCCUGGGGUUCAAUCCCCAGUACCUCCA
rnacentral:tRNA from 1 species